GGAGGGAUGUGGCUCAGCGGUACACAACAUGCUUUUCAUGAAGGAGGGCCUGAGUUCAAGCCCCAGCAUCUCCA